rnacentral:rRNA from 1 species
ACGACUACAUUAGAUACCCCCGUAGUCCUAGGCGUAAAUGAUGCGAGUUAAGUNUGGGGGCAUCUACGAGAUGGCCCUGUGCUGUAGGGUAGCCGUUAAACUCGCUGCCUGGGAGUACGGUCGCAAGGCUGAAACUUAAAGGAAUUGGCGGGGAGCACCACAAGAGGUGGAGGCUGCGGUUCAAUUGGACUCAACGCCGGAAAACUCAUCGGGAGCGACAGCAGUAUGAUUGCCAGGUUGAUGACCUUGCUUGACAAGCUG